UCUUCAUGUUUUAAUUUUGCAUUUAGAUUUUGUACACUUUGUAAAUUUACAACAAAAGUUUUAUUAUAUGAGCAUUUGAAUUUACAACUUGCUCCUCUGAACUAACUCUUCUCGAUGACAUUCUCCUUAGGAGGAGUGAUUCUUGAGCAACUGAAAAUUUGAAAUGGGAGGAUUUAUGCUUUUCUGGAUGACGAUUCAAAGGGAUCCGGUUGCCCAUUAUUUGAGAAUUUUGCAGAAAACAUCGGCAAUGGCACUGCUUGUUUAAGAACAUUUAUAACCUGUUCUGAGGUUGGCCUUUCCUUGUGGUCUUGGAGGGUACACCAUAUUCCUACAUUGAGCAAGCAUUUCAUUUCAUAUAUGUCAAAAUCCAUCUUCAAUUCCUCAUCAGCAGCAUUCAAAAUAUUCCCAUCCACGUAAUGUUUCCAUACCCAUUUCGCCAAAGGCACAUGAUUAUCUUCGCCAUCCUGGUACCCAUAUGUCCCC
rnacentral:sRNA from 1 species